rnacentral:lncRNA from 1 species
GUAAUUACCACUUAAGAAGGGAUAUGUAUAUUCAAGAGGAGAGCUUUGUGCCCUGCAGCUCUGUUAACCUGCUCCUCUCUUCUAUGUAAAGACUGUCUUUCAUGGGGGGCUGGGGGAAGCCUGUAGAUUUUAAACCAGUGCGAGAAUGUAGACGGGCGUAUUCCCAACAGAUCUGGGGGAGAAUUCCGACCUGCUGGAUUCCUCAGCUGAGCUAACUGCUCUAGCACUGCGCUCUCACCUCAGAACCGUAACCGGUUAACCGGCCUGCAUGACUCAGACGCACAGGCCGCAGGAGGGGUGGGCGGCCAGCCUGGGGACUGAAGAGAUCUUGACAAUCUGAGAAGCAACCAAGCACGGAAGGAAAGACAGUCUUGGUUUCCACAGGAGAGGUUCUGAAGGAGCUCGACUAAGCACCCGCUUUCCCCGCAAAGGGCCGAAGAGUGUGCCCAUCUCUGUGCUCUGCAGGCCUCAGAUGAAAGCUUGUGUCUCCAUCCACAUUUCCGCACCCCCUGGAAGCCAGACGCUGACUAGGAGCUCACAGUUUGGUCCUGGCCCUUCCUAGCCAUGCCGCUAACCACAGGCCUGAGUCCAGCGGGAAGAAGCAGAGGUUGCAGGCUCCGGCUCUGCCCAGCUGCCCCUCCCACCCAGACCCUGGGGAGAAGAGCAGCAAAUAGUUCCCCGGAAGUCAGAUCCCUGAGGGUGCCCAUCACGACUUACAAAAGAUGAAGCCCGACCUUCCACAGGGUUCUGAGGGGAAGCCAGGCAAAGACAAAGGAAUGCAGACCCAGGAGGCCGAGAGCGGCCCACAGCUUACUCUCCCUGCGCAUCCCAGCUGCUGCUACCCGACCCUUAUAAGUCACAUGUCUCAUCAAGAAACUUGGGCAGCUGGAUAAUCUAUUGAUGAUUAAGAUAAAGCUUUCUGCCAAGCUUUUCAGGCUCCAGGAUUCAUUUUAAGUGGAGAACCCCGUUCUGCAAAAGAAAGCCACAGAACUUGAUGAUAGCAGCCCCCACCCCUGCUACGGUUUGCCUGGGAGUCAGGACUGCCUUGGUCCUCCCUACCAGAACCAAAAGGAGGGCUGGGUUGGCCAGCGAGGCUGCUCCGGGCUCUCAGCCUUGCCCAGGUGGCCGCUGUGGGUUCAGCUGGGCACCGGCGCCCAUCUUCAUGGGCUUUAUGUAAGAACAAAGGUUUUGAAUUAGAACAUGCACAAUUACAUACAUUGAUUGACAGACUUCUCUUUCUGAUAUCGGGGCUCUUGUGUGUAUCCGUUUGGUUACAUAAAAGAUUCUAUUAAAAAGAAGUUUGUAAACCGCUAAUCUGCAAUUCUAUUGCAUGAUUUGUAGUUGAGAAAGCUGGCGCCACAGGGUGGGGUGACCGGCCAGAUGUGGCUCCAGUUUCCUUCUCCAUGUCACAUGCCCCUCCUCCUCCUCUAGACUCAUU